rnacentral:rRNA from 1 species
AUUGAACGCUGGCGGCAGGCCUAACACAUGCAAGUCGAACGAGUGGCGGACGGGUGAGUAAUGUCUGGGAAACUGCCUGAUGGAGGGGGAUAACUACUGGAAACGGUAGCUAAUACCGCAUACCAUCGGAUGUGCCCAGAUGGGAUUAGCUAGUAGGUGGGGUAAUGGCUCACCUAGGCGACGAUCCCUAGCUGGUCUGAGAGGAUGACCAGCAACAGUGGAACAGGGAGACGGUCCAAACUCAUACGUGAGGCAGCAGUGGGGAAUAUUGCACAAUGGGCGCAAGCCUGAUGCAGCCAUGCCGCGUGUAUGAAGAAGGCCUUCGGGUUGUAAAGUACUUUCGGCGGGGGGGCGUUACCCGAAGAAGAAGAACCGGCUAACUCCGUGCCGGGGGCCGCGGUAAUAC